UACGUAGGGGGCAAGCGUUGUCCGGAUUCAUUGGGCGUAAAGAGCGUGUAGGCGGCCAGGUAGGUCGGUUGUGAAAACUGGAGGCUCAACCUUCAGACGGUCCGACCGAAACCAUCUGGCUAGAGUCCGGGAGAGGAGAGUGGAAUUCCUGGUGUAGCGGUGAAAUGCGCAGAUAUCAGGAAGAACACCCGUGGCGAAAGCGGCUCUCUGGAACGGUACUGGACGCUGAGACGCGAAAGCGUGGGGAGCGAACAGG
rnacentral:rRNA from 1 species